rnacentral:rRNA from 1 species
AGAACGAACGCUGGCGGCAUGCCUAACACAUGCAAGUCGAACGAGACCUUCGGGUCGAGUGGCGCACGGGUGCGUAACGCGUGGGAACCUGCCUUUAGGUUCGGAAUAACGCCUCGAAAGGGGUGCUAAUACCGAAUAAUGUCUUCGGACCAAAGAUUUAUCGCCUUUAGAUGGGCCCGCGUUGGAUUAGCUAGUUGGUGGGGUAAAGGCCUACCAAGGCGACGAUCCAUAGCUGGUCUUAGAGGAUGAUCAGCCACACUGGGACUGAGACACGGCCCAGACUCCUACGGGAGGCAGCAGUGGGGAAUAUUGGACAAUGGGCGAAAGCCUGAUCCAGCAAUGCCGCGUGAAUGAUGAAGGUCUUAGGAUUGUAAAAUUCUUUCACCGGGGAAGAUAAUGACGGUACCCGGAGAAGAAGCCCGGCUAACUUCGUGCCAGCAGCCGC